rnacentral:rRNA from 1 species
AACGAACGCUGGCGGCAUGCCUAACACAUGCAAGUCGAACGAGACCUUCGGGUCUAGUGGCGCACGGGUGCGUAACGCGUGGGAACCUGCCCUUAGGUUCGGAAUAACUCCCCGAAAGGGGUGCUAAUACCGGAUAAUGUCUUCGGACCAAAGAUUUAUCGCCUUUGGAUGGGCCCGCGUUGGAUUAGCUAGUUGGUAGGGUAAAAGCCUACCAAGGCGACGAUCCAUAGCUGGUCUGAGAGGAUGAUCAGCCACACUGGGACUGAGCCACGGCCCAGACUCCAGGGGGCGGCGGGAGUGGGGAAACUUGGGCAGGGGGCAAAAGCCAGUACCACCAAGGGCGGGGGGACGAUCAAGGGCUUGGGUUUCAAAAGCUCCUUUCCCGGGGAUGAAAAGACGGUAACGGGGAAAAAAGCCCCGGCUAACUACGGG